rnacentral:lncRNA from 1 species
GGUUUGUAGUGAACUGGCUUUAGAUGCCUCUGAUAAAGCUCUCUGAACUGGUCUGGAACCAGUGAUUCACCUUUUCACACAGGCGUUGUCCAGUGCUAUUUGAUCUUGUAGAAGUAAACAGAAGGAUCCAAAGAACUUUGACUAUUUUGUUCAUUAUUACACAUUUACUUUAGGCAAAGACCAUAUUCCUUUUAGAACAAUAUUUACAUCCUAUAUUUCUGUACAGAAAUGAGUCUACCAGGGCAUAAUUAGAAUCUGUGUAGUAUGGUUCCAGGUCUGGGGGUGAGUCAGUCCUGACCCCCCACUUUUUCACCGAGGACAUAGACAGGAACAACAGGAGUUAUACCUGACUGGUGUUCAAAUGCAGUAUCCUUUGUUCUGGGGAAAGCAAAAUGUACUGAAGUUUACAUUUACAAGAUUAAAGAAACCUGAAAGACUUAGAAGGCAGUCGAGCCUAUGACUGUGUCCCCAUUUGACCAGACUGUACUCACACGAAGUGGCUAUCCCAGGCUUAAGACUUGAUGAGUUGAGCUCCGUUUUCAUGUACUCAUCCUGAAUUCCUAUUUUUCUAAAAUUGCGUCCUUCACCAGUUCUGCCUUUUGGCAAUCAUUUCUUUUAAGUCAGAAUUCAAUCAUAGCUACAGAUAAUCUACAAUGAGUAGAAAAGAAGAGAAAGUGUCAUUGUUAAUAGAAAACCAUGUAAAGUCAUCAUCAGGUCAUCUGGAUGAAUCUUGAAAUACAUAUAGCUGCCAAAUUUACAAACCUUUACUGUAUCAGUGCUGUAGUAUAUAACCUCAAACAGGUGUAAAUAGAAUUAAUUAUUUUCUUGUUUUGAAUUGUUAACAUAUUAAAUGUUGACUCUUUGGGAGAGUUGUUGGCAAAUUUUCAGUGACAAGAAAACAUGUUAUUGUCAACUUGAAAUGUAUUCCGUUAAUGGGGACAUUCAAGAAAAAAAGAUAGCUUUCCAAUGUGUGCAUAGUAUUGGC